rnacentral:lncRNA from 1 species
CUAAAAUUAAGCUCUUCAUUUUAAUAUCUCUCCAAAAUCAAUACAAAAUUCAAAAAGCAGAAAUGAGCAAAAACUUACCUAAUUUCACCUCUGAAGAAGGUCAUACUUUAUUUGCUUUCUUUUAUAUUCAUAUUUCUCAUCUAAAAAUAUUGCUGAAGGAUAUAUUGAAACUAUUCACUCCAAUUUGGUCUUGAUUUGAUUGCAAAUAUGCAGUAGCAUAUAUGCAUCUGCUAUUCGAAUGAAAUUCGAUUUCGUAGUGCAAGCUUGUAAUGUCAAAUAUAAGAAAAAAAAUAUAAUCGAAUUAUUUAAUUGAUUAGAACUAAUCAGACAUUCCUUCGCUUUUAUUUGUAAAGGGGAAAGAAAAGACAAAAAAGAUUAGGACCUAUAUCUUUCCACUCUCUAACGUUGAGUAUGAUUGUGUUACCUAAAUUCAAAAAAAAACUAGAACAUAGAUUUUGCAAUGUGUCUAUGUCUAUGACAUAUGAUAAUCGCAUUUCAAAUUUCAUGCAACUUAAUAUAUAAAGAUCUUGAUUUCGG